AGAGAGAGACAUGCGCGCAUAUCAAUAAGCGGAGGAAAAGAAACUAACAAGGAUUCCCUUAGUAACGGCGAGUGAAGCGGGAAGAGCUCAAAUUUGAAAUCUUCAAGGUUUUGACCUUGACGAAUUGUAGUUUAAAGAAGUGUUUUCUGCUGAAGUUUUGGUAAAAGUUCUUUGGAAUAGGACAUCAUAGAGGGUGAGAAUCCCGUAUUUGACCAUUAUUUCAGCUUUGUGAUACACUUUCAAAGAGUCGGAUUGUUUGGGAAUGUAGUCCAAAAUGGGUGGUAAAUUUCAUCUAAAGCUAAAUAUUGGCGAGAGACCGAUAGCGAACAAGUACCGUGAGGGAAAGAUGAAAAGAACUUUGAAAAGAGAGUUAAACAGUACGUGAAAUUGUCAAAAGGGAAGCGUUUGACACCAGUGUUGUUUUCUCGAAAAUCAAUUAAAAAUGGCUCGAUUUUGUAUUGUUGAGACCUUAAAAGCUCACUGUACAUUUUUCGUGUCUUUUUUAAUGCACUUUUCGUUUAACAAGUCAACAUCAGUUUCUUUUGUUGUAAAAGGGUCAUUGGAAGGUGGCUUUCUUUUCGGAGAAAGUGUUUAUAGCCUUUGGCCUCUGCAAUCGGAGAGACUGAGGUCUGCAGCGUAGACUCUUCGGGGUUAGAUACAUUUGUGCUAAGUUAUAGCUUUUUAUAGACAACUUGUUGACUAUAAUUAGUCUUGUAGCUUACUCGCUUAUGCUAUUUUACCUACGCUUAGGAUGUUGAAGUCAUCGUAUCGCGC
rnacentral:rRNA from 1 species